rnacentral:rRNA from 1 species
AUUGAACGCUGGCGGCAGGCCUAACACAUGCAAGUCGAACGGCAGCACAGAAGAGCUUGCUCUUUGGGUGGCGAGUGGCGGACGGGUGAGUAAUGUCUGGGAAACUGCCCGAUGGAGGGGGAUAACUACUGGAAACGGUAGCUAAUACCGCAUAACGUCGCGAGACCAAAGUGGGGGACCUUCGGGCCUCACACCAUCGGAUGUGCCCAGAUGGGAUUAGCUAGUAGGUGGGGUAAUGGCUCACCUAGGCGACGAUCCCUAGCUGGUCUGAGAGGAUGACCAGGCACACUGGAACUGAGGCACGGUCCAGAAUCCUACGGGAGGCAGCAGUGGGGAAUAUUGCACAAUGGGCGCAAGCCUGAUGCAGCCAUGCCGCGUGUAUGAAGAAGGCCUUCGGGUUGUAAAGUACUUUCAGCGGGGAGGAAGGCGGUGAGGUUAAUAACCUCGCCGAUUGACGUUACCCGCAGAAGAAGCACCGGCUAACUCCGUGCCAGCCGCCGCAGUAA